UACGUAGGGUGCAAGCGUUGUCCGGAAUUAUUGGGCGUAAAGAGCUCGUAGGCGGCUUGGCAAGUCGGGUGUGAAAACUCCAGGCUCAACCUGGAGACGCCACCCGAUACUGCCAUGGCUAGAGUCCGGUAGGGGACCACGGAAUUCCUGGUGUAGCGGUGAAAUGCGCAGAUAUCAGGAGGAACACCGGUGGCGAAGGCGGUGGUCUGGGCCGGAACUGACGCUGAGGAGCGAAAGCCAGGGGAGCAAACGGG
rnacentral:rRNA from 1 species